rnacentral:lncRNA from 1 species
GGGUGGUCUACAUCCCGAAUGUUUAAUCCAUCAUUUCUAAAGUCAGACAAGUUAUUUCUGCUAACUAUGUUUCUGUUUGCAGACCGAGGCAAUGACAACUGGUUGAUCAAAUAUGACUAUCCGAUGGAUAAUCCUAACUGUCGGGACACAGACUGGGUGAUGGUGAGGGAGCCUGUUAUCAAGGUGGCCGCCAUAGACAAUGGACUGGCUUUCCCACUGAAGCACCCUGACUCCUGGAGGGCAUAUCCUUUUUACUGGGCCUGGUUGCCACAGGCGAAAGUCCCAUUCUCUCAGGAGAUCAAAGAUUUGAUUCUUCCAAAGAUUUCAGACCCUAACUUCGUCAAGGACUUGGAGG